AUGCUCACCUCCAAACCAAUCAUUUGUGAACUGAAUUUAGGCUUUUUUCUCCCCUGUCACCUGGUCAUAAGGGAUCCCCCGUGUGGCCAUAGGUGUGAGCUGAAGGAGAAGCAAUUGCCGAAGAGGGGCUGGCAGCUGGCACCAGUCCCAGGAGCGAGGAGGAACCAUCUGAAGGAGACGCUGAGGAAUGAGCUGCAGCGUCCUCCAAAGUAUCAACAGCAGCUGAGCGUGUGCCUGCCCCAUCGCCCAGACACGCCCCUCCUGGGGACCUAUGGACUGAGCAUGCGCCUGCCCCAUCGCCCAGACACGCCCCUCCUGGGGACCUAUGGGCUGAGCGUGUGCCUGCCCCAUCGCCCAGACACGCCCCUCCUGGGGACCUACGGGCUGAGCGUGUGCCUGCCCCAUCGCCCAGACACGCCCCUCCUGGGGACCUACGGGCUGAGCGUGUGCCUGCCCCAUCGCCCAGACACGCCCCUCCUGGGGACCUACGGGCUGAGCGUGUGCCUGCCCCAUCGCCCAGACACGCCCCUCCUGGGGACCUACGGGCUGAGCGUGUGCCUGCCCCAUCGCCCAGACACGCCCCUCCUGGGGACCUACGGGCUGAGCGUGUGCCUGCCCCAUCGCCCAGACACGCCCCUCCUGGGGACCUACGGGCUGAGCGUGUGCCUGCCCCAUCGCCCAGACACGCCCCUCCUAGGGACCUAUGGACUGAGCAUGCGCCUGCACCAUCGCCCAGACAUGCCCCUCCUAGGGACCUAUGGACUCAGCGUGUGCCUGCCCCAUCGCCCAGACACGCCCCUCCUGGGGACCUACAGGCUGAGCCUGUGCCUGCCCCAUCGCCCAGACACGCCCCUCCUGGGGACCUAUGGGCUGAGCGUGCACCUGCCCCAUCGCCCAGACACACCCCUCCUAGGGACCUAUGGACUGAGCAUGCGCCUGCACCAUCGCCCAGACACGCCCCUCCUAGGGACCUAUGGACUCAGCGUGUGCCUGCCCCAUCGCCCAGACACGCCCCUCCUAGGGACCUAUGGAGAAGAAAUGGGCACAUAG
rnacentral:lncRNA from 1 species